GUGCUCACUUUGGCAGCACAUAUACUAAAAUUGGAGCAAUACAGAGAAAAUUAGCGUAAUCCCUGCACAAGGAUGACACACAAACUCGUGAAGCGUUCCCUAUUUUU
ensembl:snRNA U6 U6 spliceosomal RNA